ACACGACUACAUUAGAUACCCCUGUAGUCCUGGCCGUAAACGAUACUCGCUAGGUGUCGGCCACGGUGCGACCGUUGUCGGUGCCGUAGGGAAGCCGUGAAGCGAGCCACCUGGGAAGUACGGCCGCAAGGCUGAAACUUAAAGGAAUUGGCGGGGGAGCACAACAACGGGUGGAGCUUGCGGUUUAAUUGGAUUCAACGCCGGAAAUCUUACCGGGACCGACAGCAACAUGAAGGCCAAGCUGAAGACUUUGCCGGAUUAGCUG
rnacentral:rRNA from 1 species